CUACGGGUUGCUCCAGCGGGGAAUAUUGCACAAUGGACGAAAGUCUGAUGCAGCAACGCCGCGUGGAGGAUGACACAUUUCGGUGCGUAAACUCCUUUUAUAUAAGAAGAUAAUGACGGUAUUAUAUGAAUAAGCACCGGCUAACUCCGUGCCAGCAGCCGCGGUAAUACGGGGGGUGCAAGCGUUACUCGGAAUCACUGGGCGUAAAGCGCAUGUAGGCGGACUUGUAAGUUGGAAGUGAAAUCCUAUGGCUCAACCAUAGAACUGCUUCCAAAACUGCUUGUCUAGAAUAUGGGAGAGGUAGAUGGAAUUUCUGGUGUAGGGGUAAAAUCCGUAGAGAUCAGAGGGAAUACCGAUUGCGAAGGCGAUCUACUGGAACAUUAUUGACGCUCAGAUGCGAAAGCGUGGGGAGCAAACAGGAUUAGAUACCCUUGUAGUC
rnacentral:rRNA from 1 species